UGGAAUUGAGUGCUUGGUCGGAAGGCCUGGCUAAUCCUUGGAACGCUCAUCGUGCUGGGGCUAGAUUUUUGCAAUUAUUAAUCUCCAACGAGGAAUUCCUAGUAAACGCAAGUCAUCAGCUUGCAUUGAAUACGUCCCUGCCCUUUGUACACACCGCCCGUCGCACCUACCGAUUGAACGGUCCGAUGAAACCAUGGGAUGUUUGUGUUUGGAUU
rnacentral:rRNA from 1 species